rnacentral:rRNA from 1 species
UGGGGAAUUUUGGACAAUGGGCGCAAGCCUGAUCCAGCCAUUCCGCGUGAGUGAAGAAGGCCUUCGGGUUGUAAAGCUCUUUCGCAAGGGAAGAAAACUUAGUCUCUAACAUAGACUGAGGUUGGCGGUACCUUGAUAAGAAGCACCGGCUAACUACGUGCCAGCAGCCGCGGUAAUACGUAGGGUGCGAGCGUUAAUCGGAAUUACUGGGCGUAAAGCGUGCGCGGCGGUUUUGUAAGUCAGAUGUGAAAUCCCCGAGCUCAACUUGGGAACUGCGUUUGAAACUACAAGACUAGAAUGUGUCAGAGGGGGGUAGAAUUCCACGUGUAGCAGUGAAAUGCGUAGAGAUGUGGAGGAAUACCAAUGGCGAAGGCAGCCCCCUGGGAUAAUAUUGACGCUCAUGCACGAAAGCGUGGGGAGCAAACAG